UACGGGGGGGCAAGGCGUUGUUCGGAGUUUACGUGGGCGUAAAGGGUGUGUAGGCGGUCGUUUAAGUUUGGUGUGAAAAUCUCCCGGCUCAACCGGGAGGGUGCGCCGAAUACUGAAUGACUUGGAGUGACGGGAGAGGUGAGUCGGAAUUCCUGGUGUAGCGGUAGAAUGCGUAGAUAGUCAGGAGGAACACCGGUGGUGGUAGACGGCGUCACUGGACCGUAACUGACGCUGAGAACACGAAAGGCGUGGGUAGCAAACAGG
rnacentral:rRNA from 1 species